CUACGGGCUGCAGCAGUGGGGAAUAUUGCACAAUGGAGGAAACUCUGAUGCAGCAACGCCGCGUGGAGGAUGACACUUUUCGGAGCGUAAACUCCUUUUAUAUAGGAAGAAGAUGACGGUACUAUAUGAAUAAGCGCCGGCUAGCUCCGUGCCAGCAGCCGCGGUAAUACGGAGGGCGCAAGCGUUACUCGGAAUCACUGGGCGUAAAGAGCGUGUAGGCGGAUUAAAAAGUCAGAAGUGAAAUCCUAUAGCUUAACUAUAGAACUGCUUCUGAAACUCUUAAUCUAGAAUGUGGGAGAGGUAGAUGGAAUUUCUGGUGUAGGGGUAAAAUCCGUAGAGAUCAGAAGGAAUACCGAUUGCGAAGGCGAUCUACUAGAACAUUAUUGACGCUGAGACGCGAAAGCGUGGGGAGCAAACAGGAUUAGAUACCCUCGUAGUC
rnacentral:rRNA from 1 species